rnacentral:rRNA from 1 species
GUUUAUGGCUGCACCACCCUGAACACGCCCAGUCUCCUCUGAUGUCAGAAGCUAAGCAGGGUCAGGCCCAGUUAGUACUUGUUGUGGGGGAGGGAGAAGAAAAAGAGAGAGAGGAGACAGGAGUGCUAACUU